UACGGAGACUGCAAGCGUUAUUCGGAUUCACUGGGCGUAAAGGGUGCGCAGGCGGCCGAGUGUGUGAGGCGUGAAAGCCCGGGGCUUAACCCCGGAAUUGCACCUCAAACUACACGGCUAGAGCAUUGGAGAGGGUAGCAGAAUUCACGGUGUAGCAGUGAAAUGCGUAGAUAUCGUGAGGAAUACCAGAGGCGAAGGCGGCUACCUGGACAAUUGCUGACGCUCAGGCACGAAAGCGUGGGGAGCAAACAGG
rnacentral:rRNA from 1 species